AGCUCAAUUAAGGGGUGCCCUAAAUUUACGGGCUGAGAUCAUACCCAUCAGCAAGAGAUUGCUGAGCACCUGAUCCGGGUAGUGCCGGCGUAGGGAUUAGAUUAAUAGUUCUCC
rnacentral:ncRNA from 1 species